rnacentral:rRNA from 1 species
GAUGAACGCUGGCGGCGUGCUUAACACAUGCAAGUCGAACGGAAAGGCCCAACCUUGCUUGGGUACUCGAGUGGCGAACGGGUGAGUAACACGUGGGUGAUCUGCCCUGCACUUCGGGAUAAGCCUGGGAAACUGGGUCUACUACCGGAUAGGACCACGUUUUGGAUGGUGUGGUGGAAAGUUUUUCGGUGUGGGAUGAGCUGGCGGCUUAUCGGCUUGUUGGUGGGGUAAUGGCCUACCAAGGCGUCGACGGGUAGCCGGCCUGAGAGGGUGGACGGCCACAUUGGGACUGAGAGAGGGAGCAGACUCCUACGGGAGGCAGCAGUGGGGAAUAUUGCACAAUGGGGGCAAGCCUGAUGCAGCGACGCUGCGUGGGGGAUGACGGCCUUCGGGGUGUAAACUCCUUUCGCCAGGGACGAAGCGUUAUGGAACGGAACCUGGAAAAGAAGCACGGCUUAAUUACGU